rnacentral:lncRNA from 1 species
ACAUACUGCGAGCCCAAGCCGGAGUGGCCGUGCGCCGCCGGCAAGAAGUACUACGGCCGGGGACCCAUCCAGAUCACCUACAACUACAACUACGGCCCGGCGGGGCAGGCCAUCGGCUCCGACCUGCUCAACAACCCGGACCUGGUGGCGUCGGACGCCACCGUCUCCUUCAAGACGGCGUUCUGGUUCUGGAUGACGCCGCAGUCGCCCAAGCCGUCGUGCCACGCGGUGAUCACCGGCCAGUGGACGCCGUCCGCCGACGACCAGGCGGCGGGGCGCGUUCCGGGCUACGGCGAGAUCACCAACAUCAUCAACGGCGGUGUGGAGUGCGGGCACGGCGCGGACGACAAGGUGGCCGACCGGAUCGGGUUCUACAAGCGCUACUGCGACAUGCUGGGCGUCAGCUAUGGCGAUAACCUGGAUUGCUACAACCAGAGGCCCUACCCGCCUUCCUAGUUGAUAUUUGAUCCGAGCAGACGAAUAAAAUACAAUGCACACGAGAUUGUGAGACUCGUGAAAAACAUAUACUACCUCUGAAUUUUAAUACAUAUCUCUAAAACAAAGAUUUGAUCAUUCUUCUUAUUUAAAGGUGACUUAUACCCUUUUUUUUCACCUGACAAUACCAUGGACGUUAACACAAUGCGGUCGAAGAUGAUGAGUUGAUCGCUUUGCAUCCAUUGUCAUUCUUCAAUGAUAGCAGGUUGAAAUCUGUUGGCAACACAACACAACACUUUUCCCCUCCACUAAUCCCCUAUAUAACGCGGGAAUUUAUAAGUAAUUUUCAAUAUUAUUUUUCAUUACAGUUCAGCUAGAAGUAAAAAGAAAAAAAAUAAUCAAAAUCUCAGGGUUUAUCAAUAUUUAUCAUGAAACAAAUGAAAUUUGCACUUUAAUAUAGAAUAUAUUGAUAAGUAUAUGUUAAAUAUUAUAAAAAUGAUAGAGAGAUUUGUAAAACUAUUGUGGAAAUGAUGUUAGAGGUGAUGAUUGAAUAUGCUUGCAUGUUAAUUUAUAGAAUUAAAUAGAUUGUAGAUGUUCUUGCAUGUUUGCAUGAGGUUGAAUAAGUAAUUAUUGUUAGUGGGUAAUAAUGUGGCAUGGUUGCAUGUUAAACUUUAGAGUAGAUUAUAAAGCCAUGUGGUCCCCACCUUUUCUUGCACGAACCGCAGCAACUCACUAGUUAACUUCAUUUGCUUUGCAUAAUUGAAUUGCCACAAGCCACCAUGCAUGAGAGAGCGCUUACUGUACUAGUAAAUAAAUUAAUGUACUAUAAGCCAAUGUUAAAUCUAACAUAUAUAAUAGUAUAUAUGUUAGCUAUAAGGUUAGCUUUAUUUUUUUCAUCCUCUCUCUUUAUCUCUCUAUGAAUUUAAUGUAUAUUUCUUGGAGUUUGUGUGGAGCUAGCUCUUGCAUGAAAGCCAAUACUCUCCACUUUUGUUUAUCUCUCUCUUCCACAUAAGCAUUUAGCUUACUUAUAGCUCACCAUUAUCCUUGCUCUAAGAGCUGUUUUCCAAACUAAUUACCCUUCACACACGUAAAAAGGAACAACGGAUUAGCAGGGGCGUACCCAAAAAAGUUGCGAUCAACCCUACUGUAUAUCCGCCGCGAGCGCCGACCGCCGCCACGCCGGUAGCCGGCUACUCUCCCGCCGCUCACCGCUGUCCGUGUCGCGUGCCCGGCCGGCCUGCGUCUCCGACUCCGGAUGGGAAGGAUGUACAUCGCGUACGUCGCGCGCAGAUGGGCGCUAGGAGGCCGAGAUGAAGGCGCUCUCGGCGCUUCUAGAUGUCGACUGCCGCCGGCAACGGCGAAGAGGUAUUUAUAACUCUUUGAUUUUUCACGCUUUAUUGGAGAUGAGCAGGUGUCACGUUUAGGUGCUGAUCGCCUGAUUCCUGUGCUGCAUCCAACUUUUGUGACAUUCUUAUCAUUCAUUGUUAGGCGCAGUUUAGUUUAGCUCGUAUGGUUCAACCUUUUUUAAGCAUAUAAGCUUCCUUCAAGUCAAAAUUUUGCUUAAUCACUAAUUUUAUAUGUUUUAAGAUGGGUUAUUAAUAUAUGAUGGUGUAUAUUCUAUUAUCUAUUGUAUAUAAUAGCAUUGUUAGAUCUACGGUAUUUAGAAAAAAAAAUUUAGGUUGGACCACCCAUAUAUUAAAUCCUAGAUACGCCUCUGCGGAUUAGCACAUAAUUAAUUAAGUAGCUAAAAAGUUAAAAAAAGAUUAAUAUGUAUUUUUAAAUAACUUUUUAUAUAAUAUUUUGUAAAAGACAUACCGUUUAGUAUUUUGAAAAACGUGCAUGGUAAAAACUAGAAGUAAAAAUUGGAAACUAGCACUAAAACUAGCACUAAAACAGCCUAAUAGAAUAUGUGAGACUUCCAAUUCAGGCCGGCUGGCCCACCAACUUAUGAAGCUAGCUGAAAAUUGAGCAUAUUUUGUGGUCAUGUGGAAUUUGUGGAUUAGUUUUCAUCUGCUCUGGUAAGUUGAGUACAUCAUAUAUAGAUAUAUUCAGAAGUAGCAUCAGCAGCAUUCAGCAUUUGGCAACUGUAUUUGUUGCAGCUUGUUGCGUGCAACAAUUGGGCUAAUUGAUUGCACACGAGAAGAAGAAGAAGAAGAAGAAAAAGGAAACAAGAGAAUUCCAAGAGAUAUACACAUCGUCCGGCCGUAUACAUAGCUAGCUGUCUGUGAUGCAUGCAUGGUCAGCUGUGGCGAAUGCGACCGGCCGCUAAGUUUGAUCAAUCGUCAAAGCUCACCAUGCAUAUGAUGUAGACUUAGUACGUACGUUCCAUGGAAAUGGAAAGUCUGAGUGACUUUUCUCUCGGUGUAACUGAACUCAUGAUCAUCAUAUCCGAUCUGAUCGGAGUACAUAUUUGACCAACACCAUAUACAUCCAUGAAUAAUUUGGAUAUACAAUAGUGGAGUAUUGAAGUAGUUACUGUUAAUCGUGGCAUAGUUGGCAACGCAAUUUGUUGUUGAAAAUAUAUCAAAGAUGCCAAACACUGCACACACCAGCUAGCUUCCCUCCUUAUAUAAAGCCAUGCGCUCCCACCGCUUCUUAACAUCACUGCAACUCAGCAGCAAGCAAGCUAACUCCAUUUUGCUUUGCAUUGCCACCAUGAGAGCGCUCGCCGUGGUCGUGGUGGCCACGGCCUUUGCGGUGGUGGCCGUGCGCGGCGAGCAGUGCGGCAGCCAGGCCGGCGGCGCGCUCUGCCCCAACUGCCUCUGCUGCAGCCAGUACGGCUGGUGCGGAUCCACCUCCGCCUACUGCGGCUCCGGCUGCCAGAGCCAGUGCUCCGGCAGCUGCGGCGGCGGCGGCCCGACCCCGCCCUCCGGCGGUGGCGGCAGCGGCGUCGCCUCCAUCGUGUCGCGCUCGCUCUUCGACCAGAUGCUUCUCCACCGCAACGACGCGGCGUGCCCGGCCAAGAACUUCUACACCUACGACGCCUUCGUCGCCGCCGCCAACGCCUUCCCGAGCUUCGCCACAACCGGCGACGCCGCCACCCGCAAGCGCGAGGUCGCCGCGUUCCUGGCGCAGACGUCGCACGAGACCACGGGCGGGUGGGCGACGGCGCCCGAUGGCCCCUACUCGUGGGGCUACUGCUUCAAGGAGGAGAACAACGGCAACGUUGGGUCCGACUACUGUGUCCAGAGCUCGCAGUGGCCGUGCGCCGCCGGCAAGAAGUACUACGGCCGGGGACCCAUCCAGAUCUCCUACAACUACAACUACGGCCCGGCGGGGCAGGCCAUCGGCUCCAACCUGCUGAGCAACCCGGACCUGGUGGCGUCGGACGCCACCGUCUCCUUCAAGACGGCGUUCUGGUUCUGGAUGACGCCGCAGUCGCCCAAGCCGUCGUGCCACGCGGUGAUGACAGGGC